AGCGUUGGGUUGAAAAAGCGAGCGCGUGUCGUGAAUCGGAAAAUCGAGACAAAGAUAAAGAAAAGUUCAUUAUCACAUGCCAGAAGAACAGCGGAAAAUAAAGCCGUUGAACAAGUGAAAAACGAAAGGGAAAUGCAAGUGAAAAGUCCAUUUGGACCCUGCCCUUGAAAGUGUGUAAAAAACAACCACUGGAAUUCACUUUACGCACAAAACGACUUUAGAACGCAGCAGGAUGUGGAAAGCGUAGGA
rnacentral:sRNA from 1 species